CCUACGGGGUGCAGCAGUGAGGAAUAUUGGUCAAUGGGCGAGAGCCUGAACCAGCCAAGUCGCGUGAGGGAGUACUGCCCUAUGGGUUGUAAACCUCUUUUGUCGGGGAGCAAAAGCCGGACGUGUCCGGCUGUGAGAGUACCCGAAGAAAAAGCAUCGGCUACCUCCGUUCCAGCAGCCGCGGUAAUACGGAGGAUGCGAGCGUUAUCCGGAUUUAUUGGGUUUAAAGGGUGCGCAGGCGGAUUUUUAAGUCAGCGGUAAAAUCGUGGGGCUCAACCCCAUCCAGCCGUUGAAACUGGGGAUCUAGAGUGUGCGAGAGGUAUGCGGAAUGCGUGGUGUAGCGGUGAAAUGCAUAGAUAUCACGCAGAACCCCGAUUGCGAAGGCAGCAUACCGGUGCACAACUGACGCUCAGGCACGAAAGCGUGGGUAUCGAACAGGAUUAGAUACCCGAGUAGUC
rnacentral:rRNA from 1 species